UGGCCAAAAAGUUUGUUUGGGUUUUUCUGUAACAUCUUAGGAAAAACCCAGACAAACAUUUUGGCCAA
rnacentral:miRNA from 1 species